CAUCUGGCAUAUUACUGGAAAUGGCCAAAAAAGAAUCGGCACGUAAACCAGAAGGUUAGCAUAAUUUAGCCGCGUUGCCGACAGAAAAUCUAUAGUCAUUUGGGGUUUUGGCGGUGCCAAGCAGGCUCGCAUUGAUUAACGAUGUGUGUGUGUGUGUGUGUGUGUGUGUGUGUGUGUGUGUGUGUGUGUGUGUGUGUGUGUGUGUGUGUGUGUGUGUGUGUGUGUGUGUGUGUGUGUGUGUGUGUGUGUGUCUGUGUCUGUGUGCAUGUGUGUGUGUGUGUGUGUGUGUGUGUGUGUGUGUGGUUUUGGUAGAUUUACGGUAGACUCAGCGAUAGGGCAAAAAGAGAGAGAGGGCGAGAGACAUAGGAAGGCAGAGCAAAGAGAGAGAGGCUGAUUGAAAUGAGACCUUGAACUUACAGACAGCAGAGCAACAAACGGAGGAAAUGAACCGCAUGACAUGACAAACACACGGGGGGAGAGCACGAUAAGAAAACCAACGAAAACAACCUGGAAAGGGUUAAGUGACCAACAGACUGGCACAGCACCGAGACAUGGCAUGGCACAGUCUAAAUAGGGGGGCGGGAUAGCUCCAGAGAGAGGGCGAGAGAGAGCGCCAGAGAGAGGGCGAGAGAGGGCGAGAGAGAGAGGGCGAGAGAGGGCAAGAGAGAGCGCCAGAGCGAGGGCGAGAGAGAGCGCCAGAGAGAGGGCGAGAGUGGGCAAGAGAGAGCGCCAGAGCGAGGGCGAGAGAGGGCAAGAGAGAGCGCCAGAGCGAGGGCGAGAGAGGGCGAGAGAGAGCGCCAGAGCGAGGGCGAGAGAGAGCGCCAGAGAGAGGGCGAGAGAGGGCAAGAGAGAGCACGAGGGCGAGGGCGAGAGAGAGCGCCAGAGAGAGGGCGAGAGAGGGCAAGAGAGAGCGCCAGAGCGAGGGCGAGAGAGGGCGAGAGAGAGAGGGCGAGAGUGGGCAAGAGAGAGCGCCAGAGAGGGGGCGAGAGAGGGCAAGAGAGAGCGCCAGAGAGGGGGCGAGAGAGGGCAAGAGAGAGCGCCAGAGAGGGGGCAAGAGAGGGCAAGAGAGAGCGCCAGAGAGGGGGCGAGAGAGGGCGAGAGAGAGCGCCAGAGCGAGGACGAGAGAGGGCGAGAGAGAGAGCGAGCGAGCCGGAGCAUCAUGAAGGGUUACAGAAGACACACAGACACACCCCAGAGGGAGCCCCGAAGCAUCAGCUACCGCCCGGUAGAGGGGAACAGCAAUCAGGCGCACCUGGCCGCUAUCAGGGCUCGUUACUGCCCUGCUGAACCAGCUGCUGCAACAGGUCUUUUUAUUUCAUGGAAUUGACUUUUCAUCUCCGCUUGAGUCCAACUCUUCCUGACUCCCGUACAUUACGUCGUGGGUUCGAUGUCUAGCCAUCAGGCAGGCUGCCCAGAUCCAAUGGAAAGAUUUAUAAAAGCUUUCAUCAGAGGGAUCGGCCUGGCCCGCAACCAGGGUUGGUUACACGCAGACUGGAGUUUACUAGUUACUAGUCUUACUUUGUUGCUUUUAUAUUGGUUUUACAUAUAUUGAGUUUCAUAUGCUCUGUGAAGCCAAGACAAAUGUAUUUUUUGUGCAAAUACAAAUGUUGUUCUUCCUUUCUUUCGAUACAUCUGUCUUUAAUAUAGCUUUAAUGAAAAUAAUGUGCAAAUAUAUCCCAGCCCAUAUAUCCCAUAAUGUGCAAAUAUAGAUAUAUAUAUAUAUAUAUAUAUAUAUAUAUAUAUAUAUAUAUCUAUAUCUAUAUAUAUAUAUAUAUAUAUAUAUAUAUAUCUAUAUCUAUAUCUAUAUCUAUAUCUAUAUAUAUAUAUAUAUAUAUAUAUAUAUACGUAUAUAUAUAUAUAUACGUAUAUAUCCCAGCCACAAAGAGUUAAUCCCUACCCAGAUAAUCAUUGUGUGACCAGACAAGGGAAAAUCAAUGUCUCUCAGCAGGCGUUGGAGGCCGUGUCCAGAACCAGAGAAAUCAGAGCCGGUCCUCGCUGAGGGUCUCAGUACACUUCAUUACAGGACAAACUCGGGCUCUGAAUGGCGCCCAGACGAUGAAGGUCGAUGAGACGCCCUCGUGUUGUGGGUGGUGCGCAUGCCCCACCUAGGCAAACCUUCUCCUCCUCCUUCCUCUCUUCCUCCCUUCCUCCCAGAGAGACCGUCUUUACACUGUCAGCCAUUCCGCGCACAUGGAGUACUUCAAUCACCAAAAUUGUUCAUGUUUAUCGAAGCGAAAUGAAGUUUUGAUAAAUAAUGACAUGUCUGUUUAUGUGGAAGACGCAAAUGUGGGAGUCUAGUUAUUCUAGGCCGAUAAAUAAAUGUUACCAUUGUACUAAAGUAGGUGUAAAGUUUGAUAUUUGCUCAGCGCAUUUCUUUAUGUGAACGCCACAUCAAUCUCCUUAUGUCGUCAAACCUUAUUUUUCCCCGUAAAACAUUUAACUUCACCACUGUCCUUGUACAAUAAAUAAUAAAAAUAUUUUAAUGCACAAACGCAUAUUUCCGAAGUUUGCCCAUUUACAUGAGAGUUCCCAAGUUCCAACAUGGCGUGACACGCCCUAACGCAGUGUACGGCCAACCUCUGUCUUCUUUCCCAGCAUGCUCUCUGGCUGAUUAUACGAGCGUCCUAUAGCCCAUUACCCUGCUCCUCCCUUCCUCCCCCACCCUACCUGGAUGGUCAUCCUUCGCUAGCUAGCUAGUCCUCCCCUCCCUGGUGCUGGCUGCCGCUAGCCGCCAGGCUACGCUAGUUGUUAACCCAACAGUAGCAAACACGCGGUGAAGCCGCGCGCUUUACGACGCUACUCUGCGUUAGCGAGCCAGUGCUAGCCCGCGGCUACGCCGUGGCGCAAAGGGGAGUGAUAUAAACGCAAAGGGCCGAUAGUAAAUGUGUGACAUAAAGUCUUUAUGCUGAAAUGGGGAGAUAUGCAUCAUUAGUUAAUAAGGCUGCGGCAUCAGUUGUGGAGAGGGGCCGGUAAAAGAAAUGCUGCGGGGUAUUACAGUCGUGUUGUAAACUUUAUUCCGCGUAUAAAGAAUAACUCGGUGUUGAGCUGUCAAACAUACUGGGAGAUUAAAUCCCAUACUGGAAAAUUGUGGCUUCCUGUCAGUCGUGUCGCCUUAGUAUAUAUAUAUAUAUAUAUAUAUAUAUAUAUAUAUAUAUACACAGUAUAAUGGGUUUGUGGUGAUUGAAAGAAAACUUCUUCACAUUUGUACAUUCUACACACACACACACACACACACACACACACACACACACACACACACACACACACACACACACACACACACACACACACACACACACACACAGGCACAGUCCACGCACCACACUAACCCAAACACCCUAUGAACAUUACAUACACAUUUUUACAUUUGAAAGCUUUCCUUUUUGAUCAAGCAUAAGCUAGUUCACAAUAGCAUGCAGAAUGAGAGAGUGCCUCCCUCCAUCACUCAAUCACACACACAACCACGCACAGUCACACACACACACACACACACACACACACACACUUCGGCCCGGCCUAAGCUGUUAGUUAGAGCUCAGACCGUCCAUUAGCUGAGUUCUUUUCCUGUUUCCGACAUAAUGAAGCAGAACGCUAGAAGAAGGGAGAGAGAGAGUGCGAGCCUGCUGACCUGAUUAAUUAGCGAGAGGCGGGAGAGAGAGGAUGCAAGAGUGUGAGAGAGAGAGAAAAGAGUGAGCGAGAGGCAGCGAGAGAGAGAAAGAGAGGGGGUAGGUAUGAUAAAGACAGUGAUAAAGAUUGAUAAAGUGGAGAACGAAGAAAAAUCAGUAUGAGAGAGGAGAGAUGGAGGACAAAAUGACCUGAGAGAUGAAAGAAAGAGGGAUGAGCUGCUGGGUGUAAUAAAUGUGAUGUCAGCUUAUAAACGACUCGGCGCGAGGGCGUGGGCAAGAGGACGGGCUUGUAGCGCACGGCGUCAACACAUCCCGAUAAAACAGUGGAUGAUUCCAACCUCAAAAAACAACGAUCGUUCUAACCUUUCGAUUUUCCCUCUUCCUCCACCGUCUCCUUCUCUUAACCAACACCUCUUUGUCUCUUCGCUACGUCAGUAUUUUACUCUUUGAAAGACUUUUAAAGGCCUUUUAAAAAGCUGGUGGUAUAUAGCAGCCAUGGAAACCUUGGCUGGGCUCUCUCCAUCGCAGCAGGAGAUGAUUAAAGUUACGGUCCAGUUAACAGCUAGCUGGGACCCUCCAGCUCUCUGGCCCUCAGGUACACACAAACACACACACAUCCACGCCGCCUCCCACACACGCAUGCAAGCACACACAGCCACACACACCCUCUCCCUCUCUCUCUGACACACCCUCAAUCCCAAACACACACACACACACACGCACAAACACACACACACCCUCUCUAUCGCUCUCUCACACACAUAUACACACACACACACACACACACCCUCUCUAUCGCUCUCUCACACACGUAUACACACACACACACACACAAACACACACACACACACCCAAACACCCUAAUAAGGCCGCUCACCUGUGCAGGAGCAUGCAGAACGCAUUGGAGGAGCUGGGUUCUAGCUAAAGCCUGAGCACGCUCUGAGAGGCAGCAGCACGGCAGGACAGCCAGCUCGGCCGGCGGGCAGGCAGACAGAAAGACAGCCAGCAUGGGCAUUCAUUAAAAACCCCAGCACCGUGCAUAGGGACUAACAGGGCCAUAAAAGCAAUUAAUCUAGCCAUAAACAAGCCACUCGCCUGUCCCACACUCCCCUGCACAGAAACGACGGUGGCAGUGGGGAGGGAGGGGGGGAGGGGAGGAGGGGGGAGACAGGGGGAGGCUUGCUUUUCGUUUCCUCUUCUCUGGGCUUUGUAUUUCUUCUGAUUUCUCGCUGUUUCCUCCCUCUGUCUCGGGGCCUCUCAGGUACACCCCACAGAUGUUACCUUCCCAUGAAGAGUGAACAAGAGUCCUCUAAUGAUCAAGCACACAUGGAUGCAGAUGUGUGUGUGCGUGUGUGUGUAUGUGUGUGUGUGUAUGUGUGUGCGCGUUUGCGUGUGCGAGAGCUGCAGCCUCCGACCCAACAUGGCGGACGGUGAGG
ensembl:lncRNA